CCGUAACUAUAACGGUCCUAAGGUAGCGAAAUUCCUUGUCGGGUAAGUUCCGACCCGCAUGAAAGGCGUAAUGAUUUGGGCGCUGUCUCAACGAGGGGCCCGGUGAAAUUGAAAUACCUGUGAAGAUGCAGGUUACCCGCGACUGGACAGAAAGACCCCAUGGAGCUUUACUGCAGCUUGAGAUUGAAUCCCGGUGGCAGACGCACAGGAUAGGUGGGAGGCUUUGAGAUAGUGACUUUGGUUGCUAUGGAGCCGACGUUGGGAUACCACCCUUCUGUUGCUGGGAUUCUAACGCGAAGAUUAACAACCUUGCGGACCAUCUCAGGUAGGCGGUUUGACUGGGGCGGUCGCCUCCGAAAGAGUAACGGAGGCGCCCAAAGGUUCCCUCAGGCCGGACAGAAACCGGCCGAAGAGUGCAAAGGCAGAAGGGAGCUUGACUGCGAGACAGACAAGUCGAGCAGAGACGAAAGUCGGGCUUAGUGAUCCGGUGGUACUGCGUGGAAAGGCCAUCGCUCAACGGAUAAAAGCUACCCUGGGGAUAACAGGCUAAUCUCUCCCAAGAGUUCAUAUCGACGGGGAGGUUUGGCACCUCGAUGUCGGCUCAUCACAUCCUGGAGCUGGAGUAGGUUCCAAGGGUUGGGCUGUUCGCCCAUUAAAGUGGUACGCGAGCUGGGUUCAAAACGUCGUGAGACAGUUUGGUUCAUAUCCAUCGCGGGCGCAAGAAGUUUGAGGGAGGCUGCUCCUAGUACGAGAGGACCGGAGUGGACGGAUCAACGGUGUACCAGUUGUCACGCCAGUGGCACGGCUGGAAAGCCGCAUCCGGAAAGGAUAAACGCUGAAAGCAUCUAAGCGUGAAGCCCGUCCCAAGAUGAGACUUCUCAUCAGCAAUGAGUAAGACCCCUUAAAGACGAUGAGGUUGAUAGGCUGUGAGUGGAAGAGCCGCGAGGCUUGGAGCGACGCAGUACUAAUAGGUCGAGGUCUUAACUUA
rnacentral:rRNA from 1 species